UAUUCGUGAAUCAUCGAAUCUUUGAACGCACAUUGCGCCCUCUGGUAUUCCGGAGGGCAUGCCUGUUUGAGCGUCGUUU
rnacentral:rRNA from 1 species